rnacentral:rRNA from 1 species
UACAGAGGUCUCAAGCGUUGUUCGGAUUCAUUGGGCGUAAAGGGUGCGUAGGCGGCGCGGUAAGUCGGGUGUGAAAUCUUGGAGCUUAACUCCGAAACUGCAUUCGAUACUGCCGUGCUUGAGGACUGGAGAGGAGACUGGAAUUUACGGUGUAGCGGUGAAAUGCGUAGAUAUCGUAAGGAAGACCAGUGGCGAAGGCGGGUCUCUGGACAGUCCUGACGCUGAGGCACGAAGGCCAGGGGAGCAAACGGG